rnacentral:rRNA from 1 species
GGAGUCUGGGCCGUGUCUCAGUCCCAAUGUGGCCGUCCGCCCUCUCAGGCCGGCUACUGAUCGUCGCUUUGGUGGGCCGUUACCCCGCCAACUGGCUAAUCAGACGCGGAUCCAUCUCUCACCGAUAAAUCUUUCCUCUUAUGAUCAUGCGGUCAUAAGAGCGUAUGCGGUAUUACCAGCCGUUUCCAGCUGCUAUCCCCCUGUGAGAGGCAGGUUAUCCACGCGUUACUCACCCGUCGCCACUAAACUAAAAGGAAUCACUCCGAAAAGAUCUUCCAGAUAGUCCCGUUCGACUUGCAUGUGUUAGGCACGCCGCCAGCGUUCAUC